rnacentral:lncRNA from 1 species
UAAAGAACAUAUUUGUGAAAGCCAAAAAUGAAAAUAUAACUUGUCAUUGCUGCAAUAAAUUAGGACAUAAAGCAUAUGAAUGUAAUUAUAGAAAGUCUAGCUACAACAAAUUGAGUAAUAAUUAUAAGCUAAAAUCUAAAAAAAUUUGGGUUCCAAAAGGAACAUCAAGUACUAACCCUAAAGGACCCAACAUAGUUUGGGUACCUAAAGCAUAUUCUUGAUCUUGAUUGCAGGGGUGUCUUGCAGCUAAUAAGGUGGAUAAACGAUGGUAUCUAGAUAGCGGCUGUUCAAGACACAUGACAGGUGACGUAGAACAAUUUGUCAUCUUGGAAUCUAAGAAGGGUGGAGUGGUAACCUAU